UCUCUUACCUUUUCCAAAUCACUCAUAAUGGGGUGGAUUGAGCAAGUUGGUGGAAGUGAGGUCAACAUAUGUUUUAACUACCAAAACUUACUAUGCUAAACCGGUAACAUGAAAUUGUAUUAACAUAUAUUAUUUUUCUCGUUUAUAGUAUUUAUCCAGCCAAAAACUUUCUAUUUUAGAAAUAUUCUUCACGAAUAUUUGAGUUUCUGAUUCGACAGCUAAAACGUUAAAAUAGUCUUAUAACAAAUAGGCUUACCUGAAGAAUACAUGAUCCAUGGUGUUUUUUUUUCAUGAAGUACACUACUAGAGUCUAACCAAACCUGCUUUCCUCCUAUUGUUUUGUAAGAGCCGUCAUUCUGUAAAUGUGCGACGUUACGCACAAAACCAUCAAGUAGGCAUUUCAAAAUUUUGGAACAAUCACUGGAUGGUAAUCUUUGAGCAGUAGGUAUAGAAAAUUUAUUUAAAAAACGAACCAAAUGAGUGCGAAUGUCAAGGGCUUGGCGCAAAGUUUGAUAGUUCAAAUAAUUUUUCCUGCACCAUUGUAAAUCUUUUUUGUUACCGACAAAAGAUUCAAAAACUAAAUGUUAAUACACUUUUAAACUUUAUUAAUGAAGCAUACCAUUUAAUGCGGUAAUGAUGUCCCCUUCAUUUGCAAAAAAAGAAGAAUGGGCAACGAAGGCAUCAUUCUUUGAUGAACUUGUGGGAUUAUAAAAUACUUCGCCUGCUGUAAGUAUUGAAGCAAUUGAAAGAAUUUCAUGAGUGCAACCAAAUUGGUUGGAAGUAAGUAACUAAUGAUGGGUUAGCGUGUACUUUAUUUCCUAUAUGGGAGUACGUACAGCUUUGGAGAUGUUUGCAUCCAAGAAUGAGUUGGAAAUUUGUAUGCCAAGUGGGUCUGUCAAAUUUCCACUUUCGUCCAAGACACCUAAAAGAUAGAGGUCCUUCAAAAAAAUUAGUUGUUUGCCGGCUAUAAUAAAAUUCACAAACCUCUAGAGCCGCCAUAAGGUGAACUGUGGGAGGACGGACAAAAAAGGGAAACUGAAGUAUGUUUUUUAGCCCUAAACCUUUCAAAAAUAACACCAACGGUGACAUAUCGCAAUUUAAGAUGUCUGCUUCAAAUUCUUCUUUCAUCAAGCUGUAAGCUUUUUCAGUAUAUAGACGGAACACCUUUCCCCUCAUUGUCCUUCCAGCUCUUCCACUUCUCUGUAUAGCACUUGACUUAGAUAUAGGCACGUUAAUCAAUUUUGAAGUCCUUGUAUACGGGUUGUAUAUCCGUUGUUUAUUAAAACCUGA